CUACAGUACCUGGCAGGGGACCGUCGGUGAAUAACAGGGCCAAGGUUUCAGGAUGAGGCUAUUCCAAUGCACUUUGGAUGUACCAACCCCUGACCUAUCCCUAAAUGUGGGAUACAUGACUGUGUAAUUUGUAGUAGUGAGAAAAUGUAUUCACGCUCUACUCAG